rnacentral:rRNA from 1 species
UACGGAGGGUGCAAGCGUUAAUCGGAAUUACUGGGCGUAAAGCGCACGCAGGUGGCUGAGUCAGUCGAUUGUGAAAGCCCUGGGCUUAACCUGGGAAUUGCAGUCGAUACUACUCAGCUAGAGUAUGGGAGAGGGUAGUGGAAUUCCCGGUGUAGCGGUGAAAUGCGUAGAUAUCGGGAGGAACAUCAGUGGCGAAGGCGGCUACCUGGCCCGAUACUGACACUCAGGUGCGACAGCGUGGGGAGCAAACAGG